rnacentral:rRNA from 1 species
UUGAACGCUGGCGGCAGGCCUAACACAUGCAAGUCGGACGGUAGCACAGAGAGCUUGCUCUCGGGUGACGAGUGGCGGACGGGUGAGUAAUGUCUGGGAAACUGCCCGAUGGAGGGGGAUAACUACUGGAAACGGUAGCUAAUACCGCAUAACGUCUUCGGACCAAAGUGGGGGACCUUCGGGCCUCACACCAUCGGAUGUGCCCAGAUGGGAUUAGCUAGUAGGUGGGGUAAUGGCUCACCUAGGCGACGAUCCCUAGCUGGUCUGAGAGGAUGACCAGCCACACUGGAACUGAGACACGGUCCAGACUCCUACGGGAGGCAGCAGUGGGGAAUAUUGCACAAUGGGCGCAAGCCUGAUGCAGCCAUGCCGCGUGUAUGAAGAAGGCCUUCGGGUUGUAAAGUACUUUCAGCGGGGAGGAAGGCGAUGGAGUUAAUAGCUUCAUCGAUUGACGUUACCCGCAGAAGAAGCACCGGCUAACUCCGUGCCAGCAGCCGCGGUAAUACGGAGGGUGCAAGCGUUAAUCGGAAUUACUGGGCGUAAAGCGCACGCAGGCGGUCUGUCAAGUCGGAUGUGAAAUCCCCGGGCUUAACCUGGGAACUGCAUUCGAAACUGGCAGGCUAGAGUCUUGUAGAGGGGGGGUAGAAUUCCAGGUGUAGCGGUGAAAUGCGUAGAGAUCUGGAGGAAUACCGGUGGCGAAGGCGGCCCCCUGGACAAAGACUGACGCUCAGGUGCGAAAGCGUGGGGAGCAAACAGGAUUAGAUACCCUGGUAGUCCACGCCGUAAACGAUGUCGACUUGGAGGUUGUGCCCUUGAGGCGUGGCUUCCGGAGCUAACGCGUUAAGUCGACCGCCUGGGGAGUACGGCCGCAAGGUUAAAACUCAAAUGAAUUGACGGGGGCCCGCACAAGCGGUGGAGCAUGUGGUUUAAUUCGAUGCAACGCGAAGAACCUUACCUACUCUUGACAUCCAGCGAAUUCGGUAGAGAUACCUUAGUGCCUUCGGGAACGCUGAGACAGGUGCUGCAUGGCUGUCGUCAGCUCGUGUUGUGAAAUGUUGGGUUAAGUCCCGCAACGAGCGCAACCCUUAUCCUUUGUUGCCAGCGGUCCGGCCGGGAACUCAAAGGAGACUGCCGGUGAUAAACCGGAGGAAGGUGGGGAUGACGUCAAGUCAUCAUGGCCCUUACGAGUAGGGCUACACACGUGCUACAAUGGCGUAUACAAAGAGAAGCGACCUCGCGAGAGCAAGCGGACCUCAUAAAGUACGUCGUAGCCCGGAUUGGAGUCUGCAACUCGACUCCAUGAAGUCGGAAUCGCUAGUAAUCGUAGAUCAGAAUGCUACGGUGAAUACGUUCCCGGGCCUUGUACACACCGC